UGCUGUUGCUGGCGGGCGCCAGAGGCCUCAGUCCCCUGCCCAGGAUUCCGGCUCUCGGGGCGGCCUCCUUUCCGCCCACGCUCCAGUUCUUCCUCCAGCUCCCCAGCUCCGGAGCUUCCACCACAUCUGCCGGCUCAGGACGGGUCGCGCUCAUCCCUUAACUUAACUUUUUGUUGUUUCUGUUUAUAUUUUAUUGUGCUGUGUCUUGAAAUGUUGUAGUUAUUACUUUUGGAUAUUAUUUAGUAUUCCGACUUUGAAUAAGAGUAGUUUGCACACCACACAGCUAUAGUGUUAUAAUAUUCUGUUUUGUUGUGUAUCCUAUUAGCAGUGAGGAUUUUUUUUUUUAUCUUUAGGUGAUCAUUUAUUGCUCGUUAAUGUUCUUUUCUUCCUGAUUGAAGUACUUCCUUUAGCAUUCCUUUAGGACAGGUGUGGUAUUCAUAAAAUACUUCAGCUUUUGUUUGUCUGAAAAAGUUAGUAUUUCUUCUUUUUAUUUGAAGAAUAUUUUCACUGUAUAUUCUAUUCUAAGGUAAAAGUUUUUUUUUCCUUUAGUACUUUAAAUAUUUAUUGCUUCUCUCUCCUGACCAGUAGAGUUUCCACCGUAAAGUCUGCUGCCAGACGUGUUGGAGCUCCCCAGAUUUGUCCACAGUGCCUUAUUUAGUUCACUUGGUGAGGUCAUGUUUUCCUGGAUGGUGUUGAUGCUAGUAGAUGUUCUUCAGUGUCAGGACAUUAAAAUCUUGGGCAUGCAGCACCAUAUGAGAGGUUUAAAAAAUAAAAUUUAAAGAGAGAAAAGGAGACACAGGCAGACCCUGUGACACUACAGCUUCUGGCACACAGUAGGUGCAUCACAAACAUCUGUUGAGUUCACACACUCUUGCCUUCUCAAACCUUUUUGUCAAGUCUUCAGUGAAAAGGAAUUGCUGAUUGAGCAAGAAUUAAACUUCUAGAGACUUCUGGAUCCACUGAAGUUUAAGACAAGAGGGGUCUGUUUCUAUUUUAAACAGCUCUAGUCAGGAAGUGUUAGAAAGUUCUAAACAGGAAAUGUUCCAACACACCAUCCAAGCAUGAAGCAGGAGACACCUAUAAUUGAGCUUGCUGCCACCAACCCCAACAGCAAGAAUUCCAGUCCUGCUGCUGCAAAGUAGAAUUAUCGUUUGACUUCUGUUUUGCUGACAAGAAAUGUCCUGAGCAAGGCUACCUGGGAAAAUGACCUCACACAUGGAAAACGUUGGAGCCCAUCUGUUUCCAAUGUGCUGUUUUCCGAAAAUUAGGGAAGUUCAGUUUUCCCUUUGACACUCUCUCUUACUACCAAUCCCAAUGCCAGGGCUGUCCUGCUUCUACAAGUGACAAUGACAAAUAUGGGCCUGAAGAAAGAUGAGCUGAUGGCAUUCCCAGCUUAUUACCUCUCCUUGGGGUCCUUAUCUCACAUACAUGAAUUCAACUCAUAAACUCAGCUGGGUGAGGAUCUGUUAUUCAGCUACAUAAGAAGUGAUUGCUUAAGACUCGGGUGUGUGGUGAAAUGAGGCAGAAUUUUCUCAAUGGAAUGUUGGGAGAAUUUUCUCAUUAUUACCAUCUUACUAUCACUAAAUCAUAGCUAAAAUGAAGACAUUGUUCAAGAAGAAAUAGAAAUGUAACCUUAUGAGGACAUAAAUUUAGAGAUUUGUGGAGAGCUCUUCAUAAUUUUAUGGUGUUGUCUUUGAGCUGGGAUUAUAGUUGACAUUUCAUUAUAAUAUAUUAGCUGUUCUAGACUUUAUGCAUUUAUGCAGUUUUCUUUAUUGUACUUUAAGUUCUGUGAUACAUGGGCAGAGCAUGCAGGUUUGUUACAUAGUUAUACACGUGUCGUGGUGGUUUGCUGCACCCAUCAACCCGUCAUCUACAUAUGUAUUUCUCCUAACGCUAUUCCUCCCCUAGCCUCCCACCCCAUGACAGGCCCCAGUGUGUGAUGUUCCCCUCCCUGUGUCCAUGUGUCCU
rnacentral:lncRNA from 10 species